rnacentral:rRNA from 1 species
CAUUCGCGUUUCGACGUCGAAGUUAAACGUUCGCAUGACGGACGAGGGCAGUUUCGGCUUCUUCUUCGUUCGCGUCUUACGUUUUUCGAAUCGAUGUCGAACGCGUGCACUUUUCCUCUAGUAGGACGUCGCGAUCCGUUGGGUGUCUGUCUAAGACUCGAGGUGGAGCCCACGCGAUUUUCGAUGAUCGCGUUGACCCUCGACGUUCCGACAGACUCGCUCGACGGUAUAAUAAUGGCGCGAGGCCGCUACCUUAGUUAGCGUUCGGCCCGUAGCAAGCACGUUCCGUGUUAUCGACAGCGAUCGGACCUAGUGCCGAUUCUGUUACGGAACGACUGUUGGUUACGACGUUCUAUCUCGAACAGACCUCGUAUACGAAACGCCGAUCAGCGACGCUAUCGAUUUGGGUACUUUCAGGACCCGUCUUGAAACACGGACCAAGGAGUCUAGCAUGUGCGCGAGUCAUUGGGAUACGACUAAACCUAAAGGCGUAAUGAAAGUAAAGGUUUACCUUUCGCGUAGACCGAGGGAAGAUGAGCGGUUCGCCAUUAAAAGUGACCGCUCCGCACUCCCGGGGCGUCUCGUUCUCAUCGCGAGAAGAGGCGCACCAAGAGCGUACACGCUGGGACCCGAAAGAUGGUGAACUAUGCCUGGUCAGGACGAAGUCAGGGGAAACCCUGAUGGAGGUCCGUAGCGAUU